UCCAUUUUAUCCAUAGCUAACUGACUAGUACACAUCUAAUCCAAGAAGGUGUUUCUUCGUUGUUCUGCUUUCCUGCCAAAAAGCUUUAAACAAAGGAGCUCCCAGGAUUUCCCUCCAGAAUAGCUGGACAAACCCCUCCAAGGUAUUUCCUCCUCCCCUAAUAUGCCCCAGGGCCCCUGCCAAUCAGACCUGCUGGGGUGAGGUUAAACAGAAGCAGGGUCGGCCUCCCAGUCAAUCAACUCUAGGGGGUGGGGAGAAGGGCAGAGUCAACAAAUGCAGGGUAGAAAUACCAGAUGGGAGGGGUGGAGAGUAGCUUUUUGUUAGUCUGGGGUGUAACCUAGCUGCAGCAGGACACACUUCUCUGCGUUUCCUUGGAAUCUACCCUAGCUGCGGCAGGAACAUUUCCUCCAACAGUUUGGAUUUCCCUACUACUCCAUCACUCCUGACUCCUACCGGAGGACUUUCUGCAGCCUGCUUAAGACUACUCAGGACACCUAUCAGGACUUUGGCAGUAAGCUGCAAAGGGCAUUCCGCCACUGGAUACGUGGUAACUAGACCCACACCCUGGAAGACUUGUGCCUGCUCCUGCUUAAAGAACAAUUCCAUGAGAGAUGCCCCACUGAGAUGCAGUGGUUCCUGGUAAAGCAGCCUGCAUUGUUCUGGCUGGUGGGCACAAACAAGACAUCCCAAUAGCACAAGUCACCUUGGAUUUAGGAGAUGGGCCAUUCACACACUGAGUUGGGAUAUUGCGACAACUGCCUGCUGAGAUCCUCCUUGGCAAUUAUGUGGGUAAUAUUCAAUGCAGCAUCUUCCAAGAUAUGAAUGGAACCAGGCCUGACUCUACAGAUGCACCACAAAAGGUAAGAGAACUUGCAGCUGACUGUGACAGACCCCCUGCCCUUGACUUACUCCAUCCCACUACCUUUUGGGAAGCUCAGCACACUGACCGUACCUUAGAAUGUAUGCAAAGUGAGACAGAGAAACACCUAAUGAGCCAGGGGAACAGAUUGUGUGGGAGCGUGGGCUACUCUAUAGGAUUGUGAAGGGGUACCCUGACCAGCCAUGGAAGUGUUACCGCUAAUUUAUGGUGCCUCAGAGUUACUGCGUUCAGCUUCUUCAUAUGGCACAUGAGAUUCUCCUAGCAGGACACCAGGACAUUACCCGUAACCGACACCGUUUGACCCAAAAUUUCUACUGGCCUGGUGUCUCUCAGGAGGUGACACGAUACUGCCGUACAUGUGACAGCUGUCAGAGGACUGGCAGGGCCAAUGACAAACCCAGGUUCCCCUUUUGUCCCUUGCUCGUCAUUAGUGAGCCCUUCCAAUGGGUGGCAGUUGCUCUUAUUGGCCCCCUUAGCCUGCCAAGUUGUUCUGGGAAACAGUAUAUUCUCACUGUAGUUGAUUAUGCCACCUGAUACCCAGAAGCGGUAGCCCUGCUUAAAAUUGAUGCCCUUACAGUGACUGACACCCUUAUCCAGAUUUUCAGCCAGAUGGGCUUCCCUUGUGAAAUCUUGUCAGACCAAGGGCACCAGUUUACAUCCCAACUGCUUCAAUGCCUGUGACAACGUUUUGGUGUCAGGCCUAUCACCAUACUGCCCACAGACAAACGGUCUUUGUGAGAGAUUUAAUGGGAGGCUAAAGUACAUGCUACGGACCUUUGUGGAAUCUGGUGAGAAGGACUGGGAGUGAUAUUUAACCCAUUUGCUAUUUGCCUAUAGAGAAGUUCCCCAAUAAUCCACAGGAUUCUCUCCAUUUGAACUGUAUGGUCGGAGGGUCCGAGGCCCCUUAGAUUUACUAUGUGAAUAUUGGGAGGGGGCCCCACAAUCCCAAGAGGUCCCCGUCAUCCCCUAUGUGUUAAAAUUCUGUCAGCGUCUGGAACAAAUGACCAGCCUGGCACAUGACCACCUCUCUGCAGCUCAGCAAAGUCAGAAGGUGUGGUAUGACUGUAAGGCCAGGGAGCGCAGGUUUAUGGAAAUAGACAAGGUGCACCUCCUACACAGCAUGAUAAGCUCCAGGCACACAUAAAUAUGAUGAAGCCCUAUCACAUAAGGGAGGAUAUUGUUAGUGCUAUCUGUAGUCUCCCAACUGAAGGUACAGAUGACCCCCCACUCCCCAACCUUAUUGGAGAGGCCACUCCAGCCAGAGGUAUAGACUCAGUCACCAUAAGUGACCACCUUACCCCAUCUCAACAAGACCAGCUUUGUCAAAUUUUGCAUUCCUAUUCCAACCCAGGUUGCACCCACUGGGACUGAACAUAAAGUAGACACAGGAACUCAGUUACCUGUGCGUAGUCCUGCUUAUCGAGUGGCUGAAGCCGUCUGGCCAGAGAUGCUGGUCAGAUGGACGAGAUGCUGGCCCUUGGGGUUAUUACUCCCUCCCAUAAUCCAUGGGCUUCCCCUGUGGUGCUGGUACCCAAGAAAGAUGGGAGUACCCAAUUCUGUGUGGCCUAUAGGAGACUCAAUGAUGUGACAACUACUGAUACUUAUCCAAUGCCCAGGGUAGAUGAGCUAUUAGACAGGCUGGGAAAUGCUAAAUAUUUAACUACCAUGGAUCUCAGCCGCGUUUACUGGCAAAUUCCCCUUGCCCCUAGUGCCCAGGAAGGUCAGCCUUCAUCAUCCCCUUUCGGUCUGUUACAGUUUACGGUAAUGUCAUUUGGCAUGAAAAAUGCCCCCGCCACGUUUCAGUGCCUUGUGAACAGGCUGCUGGAUGAAGUGCAGAACUUUGCCCAGGUGUAUCUAGAUGACAUAGCUGUCUUUAGCCAGACCUGGGAGGAGCAUCUGUAGCAGUGCUGACCCAAAUUCAGGAUGCUGGGCUGACCCUUAAGGCAGAGAAGCUAUGGCUGAGGUGCAGUACUUGGGACAUAGAGUUGGGAGUGGUCAGCUCCGCCCUGACCCCUAUUGCAAAACCCUUGACAGAUCUGACAAGCCACAAGCAUUCUCGAACCAUUGUGUGGACCCAAGAAUGUGAACCAGCCAUGAGCCAUGAACACUCUCAAACAAGCCCUGGCUAACUCUCCUGUGCUGGCUGCCCCAGACUUCUCCUGACGCUUCCUUCUGCAAACGGAUGCUUCCACUUUUGGCCUUGGUACUGUACUUUCCAAAAUUAAUGCCCAUGGAGAGGAGCACCCCAUUGCCUACCUGAGUAGAAAGCUGCUCCCUCGACAGGCUGCCUAUGCCACUUGUAUGGGCCUUACAGAAAUUGCAGCCCUAUCUGUAUGAGACAGACCACAGACCACAACCACUCAGUUGGUUACAGAGGGUUUCGGGAGUCAAUGGUAAGCUGCUGAGAUGGAGCCUCCUGCUUCAACAGUAUAACUUCACCAUUCAGCACCGGAGGGGAAAAGUGCAUCACAAUGCAGAUGGCCUUUCCCGACAAGAGGACUAAGAGACCAGCAGUGGUUCCAGAGGCUCUCCCUAAAAAUGGGGAGCCCCAGAGAAACCACUCGUCCCCAGGAGGGAGAAGUGUGGCCAAAAUCCCUUCUACUUGCUCCAUUUUAUCCAUAGCUAACUGACAAAUACACAUCCAAUCCAAGACGGUGUUUCUUCUUUGUUCUACUUUCCCGCCAAAAAUCUUUAAACAAAAGAACUCCCAGGAUUUCCCUCCAGAAGAACUGGACAAACCCUCCAAGGCAUUUCCGCCUCCCCAUAUAAUGCCCCAGGGCCCCUGCCAAUCAGACCUGCUAGGAUGAGGUUAAACAGAAGCAGGGCCAACCUCCCAGCCAAUCAACUCUAGGGGGUGGGGAGAAGGGCAGGGUCACCAAAUGCAGGGUAAAAUUACCAGAGGGGAGAGGUGUAGAGUAUCUUUUUGUUAGUCUGGGGUGUAACCUAGUUGCGGCAGGACACCCUCCUCUGCGGUUCCUUGGAAUCUACCCUAGCUGCGGCAGGAACAUUCCCUCCAACAGUUUGGAUUUCCCUACCCCACAGAGGACUGUUUAUACCUGGAUCCCUUGAGGCAUUGUUAUUCUGUGGAUUUACCCACAGGAACUGUGUCCUUAUCCUUUGAAAUUGCUUGAAGGAACUCCCUGCCUUUGUCUUUGGAUUGGCCUGGAGGGUGUGUGCAUCUUGCUGUGGAUUGCUCCAGGGGAAACUCUGUAUUAUAGAUUUGGCCAGGGAGUGUUAUUGGGACUUGGGGACUUCACAUGCUAAUUACCUGCUUUUUAUAUCUGAAAUAAACCCCUGUGUAAACCUU